GUAGUCAUAUGCUUGUCUCAAAGAUUAAGCCAUGCAUGUCUAAGUAUAAAUAACUUUAUAUUGUGAAACUGCGAAUGGCUCAUUAAAUCAGUUAUGAUCUACGUGACAAAUUCUUUACUACUUGGAUAACCGUGGUAAUUCUAGAGCUAAUACAUGCAAAAAAGCCCUGACUUACGAAGGGGUGCACUUAUUAGAUAAAACCAACGCGGGGUAAAACCUGUUUCUUGGUGAAUCAUAAUAAUUAAGCGGAUCGCAUGGCCUUGUGCCGGCGACGGUCCACUCGAUUUUCUGCCCUAUCAUGGUUGAGAUUGUAAGAUGGAGGCUUACAAUGCCUACAACGGGUAACGGGGAAU
rnacentral:rRNA from 1 species